rnacentral:misc_RNA from 1 species
CCACGCCACAGCGCGCAGGCACACGCGAUUUCACUGCAUCCUUUGCUGUUUUUGUUUUUGACUUGGGUGAUGGGGUGCGGGUGAGACGAGAUUCGCACACCGGCUUGAAAGGAAAUCGUUAAUCCUGACUUAGAUCAACAAUCGCACCUUCACACACACACACACACAGACACAACGCACACACGCAUCCCAAAGAUUGCACACAACGGCAUCUUCACAGAAACAGGCUCCCAGUCUACACAACAGCGCGAGGAGGAAGGGAAGAAAGGUGAACACAAGACAAAAAAAAAGAGCUUCAGCGGCAUCGCAGUCUAUGGGGGUGUAGUCACGCAUAGGCGGAUCCGACUGGAAGAGCAGAGAAGGCAAUACGUCUCACCGUGGCGGGAGAAAGGCGGAGCAGCGAGACAGUGAAAGGCGGACGCACGCGAUCUUUCUUUCCCUUGCGCGCCCUGCGCCUCUCCUCACCAGCCAGGGAGGUGGGAAGGACACCACGCAGGGCAGCACUAGAGAGACGAGGCUAAGAUCGACACGGGCUACCUCGCUUGCGGCGAGCCGCCCCCUCCCCCACAGCAACGGCUGCGGUUCUCGAGCCACUGGAGAAGCCGUUCAUUUUCUUUGCUGGUUCACCCUCCGUUUUGUAUAGAAUUUGCUGCUUCUUAGGCUCUGUCGGCGCGCCGCCUUUUCUGGUGGUUGUGUGUCGUCUCUGUCCGUGCUCGCCCACCUCACGCCGUCGCUGCCCUCUUUUCUCGCCCCCGCGCCUCUACCUACGCCGUCAAAUCUGGCGAAACGAAGAAACCCUCAAAAAGGCGUUGCGUGCGGGUUCGCCUGCGUGCUGGUCUGUGCUCGUUGAAGGCCUUUUCUUUGCCACGUUCGCCCCAGCUCUCUCGAGCUCUCGUCUAACUCGUGCAUCGGACUGCUCUGCGUGUGUCUCGUGCUGUGUCUGUGCGUGUGUUAAGAGUGAAGGGCAGGAGAACGUAUCGCUACGGAGCACUGCACACCUUUUCGUCCUGCUCGUUUUCCUUCUGCCUUUGCUGGAGGGCGCAUCGUUUGCUGAUCUGCAUCUUCCCUCGGUUUCUGUGUGUGUGUGCCUGCUUUGUGUGGGUCGCGCAGACAAUCGCAUCGGCAUUGACACCUGCGGUUGCCCCCGGUGACUGCCUCGGCUCCAUUAGUGUAUUCGUUCUUUGUUUUUUUUUUUCCUCUGUCGCGAAGCUGUGAAGACGAGCGGCUGAGAUGUUUGGCAAUGUGAUACGGCGCUUGCCAGUGCACUGGGGCCCUGGUGCAGCUUGCCUCUCAAAUCCAUCGCCCUCAGCCACGUCGCCGCGGCUGCGGGCAUCGCCAUGUACCUCCACGGCGGUAACAGCUGUUCGCGCCGCAGCCGCGGCUCGUCACGUCCGAGCCACUCACACAGACCCCUCUUACUUGCUUUGUGGCACGUUGUCCAUGGCGCAUCGUUGGUCCUCCACGUACCCCACCGCGUCGCGUAGAAGUGUUCGAACUAGAACGAAAAAGCAGUUCAACUACCUCACAGCGGACCGUCUAAUCCCAACCGAGAAGAAGCUGUCGCGGAUCGCGAUACGCAAUCGCGAUGAUGUUAGUCUGCGACGGCGCCGCGAGUACAAGCAGCAGCUGAUGCGCGACGUGGAGGAGAAGAUCCGGUUUUACCCUCCCAGCAUUAAGAAGCAGGUGUUCUUUCCAAUCAUGACGAACUCCACCCGCGUAUCCCUCUUCCGCGGCAACCGCGAAUAUGGGAUCCGCACGUCGACUCGCGUCUUCAGCAUGCUCCUGGAGCAACUUUGCAAGAGAGAGCACCGAGAGUUCAUCCUAGAGAAGCUGGCAGAGCUCGGACUCGAGCCCCCCACCGCAGAGGACUGGGAGCACUUCACCGAUCCGGUGACGGGAGACAUUACAACGGGGAUGAUGUACUCCAAGUGGGUCGAUUCGAUUUUGACAACGUAUGGACGGAUGUCAUUCACGAGCUCAAAGCAUCUGCUCGCCGCUGGAGCGACCACGCUGUUUGCGUAUGUCAUCCGAAACUACCUCGACCGCACCCUGGUGCCGCCGCUGGAGGACUGGUCGCGCCAAUUCGGCCCUGUCGUCGCCGAGGAAUUUGUGGGGCGACCGCGCGGUCAGCAGAAGGUGAGUCUUGCCUUGUCCGACGCAUUGUACGAGGUGCGCGUGUGGGGGCGUACACAUGCGCAGGAGGCUGUCUCGCGCCUCUCGCUGCAAGAGCAAACUGACCUCGUGAAGUGGGUGGAGGGAAACAUGAAGACCCACAUCGCGGAGAUGGAGAGAAAGCACGCCUUCACGGCUAAGAUACUCGCAGUGAUGCACAGCCUGCCGGAGGCCAAAGCGAUCCACAACUCGUUCUGGGCCUUUAAGGAGUCGAAGCGACUGGAGCACGUGGUGAAAAUGAACGGAGCCUUCUUUCCGCUGCACCACGACGUGCAUAGGCAGUGGUCUCAGCUGUCGAAGGAGGAGAAGGCGCGAUACUCGUGCUUUGGCCGAAAGCGUGAGACGGAGACGGCGUGUGGACGCAAGCUCUUCAUUCGUUACUGUUGCCGUGACUACGGCUUUAGCUUGAGCGAUGCGUCACAGCGCUACGCCAGCCUUGGCGAUCUGCAAAAGGCUGCGCUGGAGUUCCCCUUCUACUUCCCGCUCACCCCAGGCAACGCUGCCACGGCGGCGUUUCAACGCUUCUACUUGGUGAUGUGCGAGCGAUACGGCAUGGUGCGCACCUACAGCAGCGGCAUCGGCAAUCGACUCUUCAAGAUUGCCAUGCGCCAAAAAUGGGAUGCCCUAUCCAUGGAAGAACGACAACAGUACGAAGAGCAUGACCGGAUUUAUGCUGCGUUCCCGCUUCAGCCGCCCACGCCCGAGGCAGCCGCAUCGGGCUCCGCAAAAGCGUCCUCAUCAGGGUCACUGCCAGCGAGUACGGCGCCAUCGGCGGCGACACGGAGCAGCGAGUGCGUAACCACGCGAUGGGGUACACCGGCCAAGGGUUCAACGGCAUCGAGGUCGCAGGUAAGAGUUGGACCUCAGUACUUUGUGGAGGAGCGGCCACCGUCGUUGAAGGUGGACGACACCGCGCUCACUGCGGAGGAGUUGCUCAUGAACCUUCGAGAAGCUGCGUACGGCACACACAGCAAUGAGACCAAGGCGAAAGUGGCGGCGACGGCCGCUCAUCCUAAGGCAACCUCGUCUGUGGCGGAGACGGCGGCGGCGACGGCCGACGAGAAGCUGCAGUCGAGGCAGCAAAAAGAAGCGGCUGACACGCAGGAUGUCGAGGUGCCCAUGGCCGCGUCGAGGAGAGGCCGUGCACGCUCCAAGACUCCGGGUUCUACCCAUGGCGAAGGGUCCACGAGGACGCGGCAGCCGGCACUCCAAGUUGUCAUGAUUUGAGCACCACGUUUGCGCGAUCGGCAUCGAAGGGAGCGAGGAAGGUUGGUGGAAGGAAGGGAGGGGGCGGGAGAGGUCACUGUUACGUUUUCCGGCUGCUUUUUCAAAGUGGCCGAACGAUAAGGGACGGAAGGAGGAGCGAAUGGGGCGGAUACGUCUUUAUGCAGACGUGUGUGUGUGUGUGUGUGUGUGUGUGUAUGCUUGUUCCCCUUUGGCCGUUCGCGCUUCAUGACUCUCUUUCUGUCUCUCGGCCCCUCCUUCCCAGGCUUCUCGGAAGCAGAGCAGCUCCGCUUUGGCUGUGGAGUCUGUCCGUCUCGCUUCAACCCCCCCCCCUCCCUCCCUCCCUCACUCUUCCGCCCCCAUCUCCCUGGUCCGUGAUGGUGCAGCAUAGAGUGUUGUUCCUGUACGCCGCGUUCUCUUCGAUGGCCGCGAAGCGUCCUGUCUCUCCCUCUUGUUUCUUUGUCACGACUUCUUCACCGUCCGCAUCAAACAGUGUCAUCCGGCUCCCUACCGUGUCGACGGUUCACACGCGCGCUUUUACAUCCUUCCCUCGUGGGGACGUCGAGACGCCGUCUCAGUGCCACUACUGUUCACACUCGUAACUGCAUACAAGCAAAAGGAAAAGAAACGACAAGAAUGACACACGUAAGCACCUGUCGCCUUACACGACGGGCAAUCGUAACAGAAAUGCUGUGGCGAGGCGGUGGAAUCGGGGCGCGAGAAUGUGGC